UUGACUUUGGGAUUGGGGGCUGUAAUCGAAUUUGACUGGAUUUCAUUUUUUAGUCUAUUCAAGAGAAUUCGUUUUUGGAUUGUUACUCGUUCCAUUGAUUACAGAAAGAGAUUUUGAUUGUUAUAGAAGGUUUGACUGAGGAUGAUUGAAACUCGUUUCGAUUUAGACUUACUUUGAAUCGAACGGAAUAUAUCUUGGGAUCGAAUGUUUUGGAAGUUAAGUCGACAUUGUAAGCAUUUGGUGUCGAUUUCAAUCUCGAUUGAUGUUGAUAUACCUCUUCAAUUUCAAAUUUUUAUGUUGAUUUCAACUAAUUUCAAUUUUGAUCGAAUGUUCUUGGAGUCAAAGUCAAAUCUGUUUGUAUGGAGAAGUCAAUCGAUGGUGAUGUUAGUUUGAUUUUGACUGGUGAUUAUUCAUUUCAUUUCCAGAAAAGAAUUAGAGUUUUGAGGAAUGGAUUUCGAUUUGUAUAUUUGUAAGUCGAACAAAGAAAAUCUUGGGGUUGAAUGUGUUUUUAGAUUUAACAAGUCGAACAAGCAUGGCUUUGGAUCGAAAUCAAAUUUAACUAUAUGUUCUGUUUGCGUCCUGGUACUCAGUUGAUUGGAGUUUGAGUCGAUGAAGGAUCGAAUAGUCUUGGAGUGAAAGUCGAUUUCCAUUGGGAAUUGAGCCGUUCGAGUAGAGAUGAGUCGAUUUCGAUGUGUAAAUUGUUGGUCGAAUUUGACUGUUGCUACUACUCAUUCGCAUCUACAAAUUGAUUUGGAGUCGAUUGUCUUGAGGUUAGAAUCAAUUUCACAUCUGGGAAUAGUUAACUUCGAAAGCAUGUUUGAUUGUUGUUUCUUGGAGUCGAAAUUGCAUUUGACUGUAUCAACUGGUGUAACAUCAUGAUGUCAAGGUACUUCGGAUGACCGCGGGAAGGCGAAGGCGUAACUGUACACAUCCUCUUGUUAUGAUCUAUGAUUUUGGGAAAACUCUGAUGUUGGAAAUGUUUUGAAAAUUGUUUUGUAAACACUUUAUGGUUUUGGUUUAUAUUUAAAAAGUUUAAAUUUAUCAUGA